rnacentral:pre_miRNA from 1 species
GUAGUAUUCCCUCCGUCCCAAAAUUCUUAUCUUACAUUUGUUUAGAUACAGAUGUAUCUAACACUAAAAUGUAACUAGAUACAUCCGUAUUUAGACAAAUUUAAGACAAGAAUUUUGGGACGGAGUGAGUACAAA